UACCUCUUACGUGAACCGUGCUGAGGAGAAGUUGCCCGGGGCGACGAAGUUGAGGAAAGCAUCCAUGGUGAACAAAGGGUUAACUUGCAGCUGACCUCCGUAGCUGUGGGGUGGGUGGCUAGUUCUGGUUGCCUGGGCUGAACUGCACGCAGAGCGGUGUGCUGUGUUGCAGUACCUUUGUACUUCCUUCAGACUGGGAAAACUGCUCCACUCGAAAUUGUAGAGACAGUGUUUCUGCUGGGAAUUCUCUGGAACACAGUUUGCUUCUGUAGACCUCAGAAAGAAAACUCAAGCCAUGCUUGCACCUUAAUUACCUCCGUGACAUCACUCCCAUACACAUCAUCAAAGGAAGACAUGAAUGCUGAGAAUGACAGGAGCUUGAAUGAAUGUCUUAGGCUUAGAAUUAGAUGAGUCCCCUUGGGAUCCGAUACUGGUGGUGGAGUGAAGGCCUAAGAAGGUAAGGGAGCCGGGAGGAAUGCGGAACGGAGAUGGUGGAAGUGGGGCGGAGGAGGGUCGAAGCUCAGCUGAAGAGCGGGGAAUCCAUGACUGGAAGUCCUUAAAAGCGAAGCCUCAGAGGAUGAUUGAUUGAAGACACAUGAGGAUCUGACACUGAUUGGAUGGAGGAGAGAUGCACAGUCAUAGGACGGUCGGGGGUGGAGGCUUUUUGAAGAUCAGGACCUGUAACCCCCCCGCCCAUGCGUUGUAGGGAGGUCAUACAGGCAUGUGGAGGCCUCACACAAUACUGAGCCUCAUUUUGACUUGUUUUAAGGACAUAACAUCGAAGUUGGAUCAGCUUGUAUUGUGUUUUUCCACUUUAAUUUUGUGUGUGACUCCGGAUCCAGGCCUCCAUUGGUUAAUAAAUUUGAUUUCCAUUGAUG